UGGGGACCGGGCCGGGCCUUCCCCCGCUCCCCGGGGCCUCCUCCCGUCCCCUUCCCGCCGUAACGGCCGCCUCUCCUUCCGCAGCUCCCCGGGCUGUACCUCCCGCCGCGCCGCCGGGCAGGCGGCGGCGAUGAGGAGGAGGAGGAGGACAGAGCGGGCUCGGCGGAAACCUCCCUGCUGAACAAGCUGAUCCGCACGUCCCUGGUGGAGUCUAGCCACCGAGUGGAGAUCCUGCAGCAGGACCCUAGCUCCCCGCUCUUCUCCGUCAAAACCUUCGAAGAGCUGCCCCUGAAGAAGGAGCUCUUGCAGGGGAUUUACAUGAUGGGCUUCAACAGACCGUCCAAAAUCCAGGAGACGGCUCUGCCCAUCAUGCUGGCGUAUCCGCCCCAAAAUCUGAUUGCCCAGAGCCAGUCAGGGACAGGGAAAACGGCAGCUUUUGUCUUGGCGAUGUUGAGCAGAGUUAAUGCCGCUGAGAAAUACCCGCAGUGCCUCUGCUUGGCUCCCACCUAUGAGCUGGCCCUGCAGAUCGGGCACGUGAUCGAGAAGAUUGGGCGGUUUUGCGCCGACAUCACGGUUAUGUACGCUGUCCGGGGAAACCGAGCAGAAACACGUUGUGUUUGGAGGCGCUUGGAUGCAAUUCCCCCUCUGGCAGUUCUGCAGGGCACCACGCUGCAGGAGCAGAUCGUCAUCGGGACCCCGGGGACGAUGCUGGACUGGUGUUUCAAACGGAGAGUCGUGGACUUGAAGAAGAUCAACAUGUUCGUGCUGGAUGAGGCUGACAUCAUGAUUGACACUCAGGGCCUCUCCUGUCAAAGCAUUCGCAUUCAGAGGGCUUUACCCAAGGGCUGCCAGAUGCUGCUGUUCUCGGCCACCUUCAAGGAAACUGUGCGGGCGUUCGCCAUGCAAAUCGUUUCCAACCCCAUCAUGAUAAAGCUGCGCGAAGAAGAGCUCACCCUGAGCAACAUCAGGCAGUACUUCUUCGUGUGCAGGAGCUGGGAGGAGAAGUACAGAGCCCUCUGCAACAUCUACGGCAGCAUCACCAUCGGCCAGGCUAUGAUCUUCUGCCAGACUCGGAGGAGCGCAGACUGGCUGUCGGUGGAGAUGAGCCAGGACGGGCAUCAGGUGGCCAUCCUGACGGCGGAGCUGACAGUAGCCCAACGGGCCGAUGUCAUCCAGCGCUUUCGUGACGGGAAGGAGAAGGUCCUCAUCGCCACCAACGUCUGCGCCAGAGGGAUCGACGUCCAGCAGGUCACCAUCGUGGUGAACUUCAGCCUCCCCACCAAUCAGAGGAGCGAGCCGGAUUUCGAGACCUACCUCCACCGCAUUGGGCGAACGGGACGCUUCGGCAAGAGGGGAGUCGCCUUCAGCAUGGUGGAAAGCCAGAAUGUGGGGCUCGUGCAGAUGAUAGAGGAGCAUUUCCCAGAAGCAUUGGGCAACUGUGAUGAGCUGGAGGUGGGCGAGUCCCGACCACGGCCACGGCCACGGCCAGAAUUAGCCAAAGGAGCCCAGUGUGGGAUUUCCAAGGGCUGAAAAUCUGAGCGGAUGAACUCCCAGCGACCUGACUUUUCCUUUUUAACGCCAUGACGUUGCAAUUCGAGGGCCGGGGCUGCCUGAGGAGGAUAAUGGACCUUCCCCCUCCCGCAUCGCUUUGGAGAGACCAAGAUCAAGCAGCUGGACCCAGACGACAUGGAUGAGCUUGAGAAGCUUGAAAACUGAGUGAGGAGUGGGGAUUUGCUCCCCCAGAUAUGAGUUUUGGUUCAAAACGGAAGGAAAAGUUACAGGGGAAAAGCUCCCAGUUCUCUUACAGCUUCCUAAAGCUGUUUGGUUUUGUUGUGACGUUUUAGGAAGAAGGCUGGGGGGGAACCCUCAGACCCAGCGGUUGUUGUCCCUGGUUUUGUUCCUCGUUAUCUCUCUGAGGUUUUCACAGCCAUGACUUUGCGGGGCUUGAGGAAUCCCCCGAGGGGCUUAACGCAGGGUAACACUCCUCAAAAACAGGUCUAGGGGCACGCGGAGGGGUCAGAAAACAGGUAAAAAAAUCCGGUAACUGGCCAAAAAAAUCCGCUGCUCAUCUCCAGGCAGUGUGCAGUGUUUCUCAGAAAAACCUUUAAUAAAAAAAAAUCAGGAGAAAGGAGUGAGUUAUAAGAACCCAGUCUCGCUAGAUGGCAGCAUGAAUCUCCCAAAUCCCGCCGGGACCCAGAAUGCCAGCAUUUGGGGUCACGGCAGUGGUGGUGGGAGAGGGGUUGGACCCCCGUCGGUGACUGUCGCCAGCCCCGGGGUGUGUUUGUCCUCAAAGGGUUUGUCCCUUCGCUGUCGCCAAGCUGAUCUCUCACAAAAUAGAAUAAUUCUGA